AAACUAACAGGGGUUCCCUCAGUAAGGGCGACUGAACCGGGAAGAGCUCAGCGCAUAACCUGGCGUCGUGACCCGGCGCCAGGGGUGUUGCGUUUCGGAGGGUCCGGCACGCAGUCUCUCACCGCCUAAGUUAUGCUUGAAAGCGGCCACUACCCAUGGAGGGUGACAGGCCCGUGUGGCGGCGCCCGCGAGGGUAUACGAGAGAUUGUCGGAAAGGGCCUCUCCGUAGAGUCGGGUUGCUUGAAAAUGCAGCCC
rnacentral:rRNA from 1 species